CGAAAAAAUUCGGAUUAAUGCUCCAUGGUUUAUCGAUAUGGCAUCGUAUUGAUAAUAAAGAUUUAUCGGUAUAAGAUGGGCAUGCGUAUCAUUAGCUAGUUGGUGUGGUAACGGCAUACCAAGGCAACGAUGAUUAGGGGUCCUGAGAGGGAGAUCCCCCACACUGGUACUGAGACACGGACCAGACUCCUACGGGAGGCAGCAGUGAGGAAUAUUGGUCAAUGGAGGCAACUCUGAACCAGCCAUGCCGCGUGCAGGAUGACGGUCCUAUGGAUUGUAAACUGCUUUUGUACAGGAAGAAACCUCCCUACGAGUAGGGACUUGACGGUACUGUAAGAAUAAGGAUCGGCUAACUCCGUGCCAGCAGCCGCGGUAAUACGGAGGAUCCGAGCGUUAUCCGGAAUUAUUGGGUUUAAAGGGUUCGUAGGCGGCUUUGUAAGUCAGUGGUGAAAUUUCCUAGCUUAACUAGGACACUGCCAUUGAUACUGCAGAGCUUGAAUAAUAUGGAAGUAACUAGAAUAUGUAGUGUAGCGGUGAAAUGCUUAGAUAUUACAUGGAAUACCAAUUGCGAAGGCAGGUUACUACGUAUUUAUUGACGCUGAUGAACGAAAGCGUGGGGAGCGAACAGGAUUAGAUACCCUGGUAGUCCACGCCGUAAACGAUGGAUACUAGCUGUUCGGUUUUCGGACUGAGUGGCUAAGCGAAAGUGAUAAGUAUCCCACCUGGGGAGUACGUUCGCAAGAAUGAAACUCAAAGGAAUUGACGGGGGCCCGCACAAGCGGUGGAGCAUGUGGUUUAAUUCGAUGAUACGCGAGGAACCUUACCAGGGCUUAAAUGUAGAUUGACAGAUUUGGAAACAGAUUUUUUUUCGGACAAUUUACAAGGUGCUGCAUGGUUGUCGUCAGCUCGUGCCGUGAGGUGUCAGGUUAAGUCCUAUAACGAGCGCAACCCCUAUUGUUAGUUACCAGCGCGUUAAGGCGGGGACUCUAGCAAGACUGCCGGUGCAAACCGUGAGGAAGGUGGGGAUGACGUCAAAUCAUCACGGCCCUUACGUCCUGGGCUACACACGUGCUACAAUGGCAAGUACAGAAAGCAGCUACCUGGCAACAGGAUGCGAAUCUCCAAAGCUUGUCUCAGUUCGGAUUGGAGUCUGCAACUUGACUAUAUGAAGCUGGA
rnacentral:rRNA from 1 species